rnacentral:rRNA from 1 species
AGCGAACGCUGGCGGCAGGCCUAACACAUGCAAGUCGAACGAAGUCUUCGGACUUAGUGGCGGACGGGUGAGUAACACGUGGGAACGUGCCUUUAGGUUCGGAAUAACUCAGGGAAACUUGUGCUAAUACCGAAUGUGCCCUUCGGGGGAAAGAUUUAUCGCCUUUAGAGCGGCCCGCGUCUGAUUAGCUAGUUGGUGAGGUAAAGGCUCACCAAGGCGACGAUCAGUAGCUGGUCUGAGAGGAUGAUCAGCCACAUUGGGACUGAGACACGGCCCAAACUCCUACGGGAGGCAGCAGUGGGGAAUCUUGCGCAAUGGGCGAAAGCCUGACGCAGCCAUGCCGCGUGAAUGAUGAAGGUCUUAGGAUUGUAAAAUUCUUUCACCGGGGACGAUAAUGACGGUACCCGGAGAAGAAGCCCCGGCUAACUUCGUGCCAGCAGCCGCGGUAAAAC